rnacentral:rRNA from 1 species
UACGUAGGGGGCAAGCGUUGUUCGGAAUUACUGGGCGUAAAGCGCGCGUAGGCGGCUAUCCAAGUCAGUGGUGAAAGCCCGGGGCUCAACUCCGGAACUGCCAUUGAAACUGUUUAGCUUGAGGACGGGAGAGGAGAGUGGAAUUCCUGGUGUAGCGGUGAAAUGCGCAGAUAUCAGGAGGAACACCGGUGGCGAAGGCGGUUCUCUGGGCAUGUACUGACGCUGAGGAACGAAAGCGUGGGGAGCGAACAGG